CGCGAGACGACAGGUGGCAGCCCUGUUCGAGCCAUUUUGUCGCGAGCUUGUGUACGUGUGUGUGAUUUCGCGCGCGAUUAAUUUCGAUCCUUCGAACAUCAGAUAUUAUAACAAGUAUCGUGCACUAUAAUCAUAAUCGUUUGAUGAAACUACCAUCAAUUGCGCUGUUUAAUCCGAUCGAGAGUAAUUUGUUACUUUAUAUUGGAAUGAUGGAGCAAAUGUAAUCUCUCGCGAGCGAACUUUUCCGAACGCGUCGAGCUGGUAAAUUUGCUUUGCAAAACAACCGUUGGGCGGCGCUGAUAUUCGUGGCAGCCAUCUUCCCGCGAUUUUAUAUUCAAGUGACGCUGCAAGUGUGAUUUCGUAGACGAUUAAUCCGUAUUUUUUACGAAUAUCCAAGUUCGUGUGCACGAUCGCGAAUUGUUAUUAUUAUUAAUCGUUUCGCGAAAUGCUCGUUGAUCGCGUAAUGUUGCAGUGUUCGGUCAGUGAUUCGGUUUUCCGCGUGUUUUUUACGUUCGAAGUGUGAUUUCGCGAGUGAUCUUUUGCGUCGCGAGCAUACAUGUCGGGAAGCCAUCUUAAUUUCUCGAGAUAAUUGGUCAUUAUUAUACAAUAUCGUGUUCGAUUCGGUCAAUUUUUUGCGUGAUUUUUAACUCGAGUGAUAGUAAAUGUUGUCGCGCGAGUGUUGAGUUCCUGUAUUCAUCGUGAAAUAUCGAAACGAUGCAGUAUUUGUUCAACUUCGAGAUCGACGUAGCAUAGGCCCCGGAGGGAUUCGAACCCUCGAUCUCCUGUUUACUAGACAGGCGCUUUAACCAACUAAGCCACGGCGCCGUUGGAGGAAUGAGAUUACUCCAGUGCAUUCGUAAGAUGCAAGCAUCAUCCCCGAGUCGGUAGGGUAGAUACCCCCGGAGCUAAGGGGUCGCUACUCGACCGUUUUCUUAUCGACUGGAAGCUUCAUGCAAAACGGCUCGCUAACUCCCCGAUAGAAAGGGGUAGCUGCGAAUUGCCGCCGUCGAUUUGAACGGCUACCUAAGAUCCAUCCCUUCGGGCGAACAUUUGGCCGCGUGAUCUCAACCGAUUCCGGAUAAAUGGCUGACUCUCUAAUUGGGCUUCCGCAUCUAUAAUUUUGGCAGUGUGAAGACUCACAAAGGCUCACAUUUUGGCUUCUAGUGAAGGCUCACAAAGUGAUUCAAUCGUUUCGUCGUGAUGUCAGAUCCAUAACGGGGGGACGUACAAAGGGAUGCUGAAACAUGAUCAGCAAUUGCUGUUCCGCGGAUUCACGAUCGUCUCUACGCCAUUGGGAAUGCAACGAUAUAAAUCACGCAGCGUACUUGUUUUAUUACGUAGCGUCAAUCGCACCGAUUACGAAACGAACUCAUAGCCGAUGAUGUAUAUGCCCGAUAAUUGUCGAUUUCAAUCUGCUGAAACAGUUCGCUAAUAAAUAAUUUAAUGCGCCGGGUUUUCGUGCAUCGGUGAUUGCGAGUGAUGCACGGUCGGUCGGUUGCAUGCCGUGCAUUGAUAGGUACAAUGCGACGUGAUUGUACCAAUCAUGCGAUAUUAUAAUCAAUAAUACACGCUAUUAAACCCUAACUAUGCACGACUGCUACCGCUGCUACUAAUACAGGCUAUGCACCGCAGCGCUAUUAAGGCUCCAGCGGUUCUCAUCUCGUCACGUUCGCUUUCCCACGGGUAAAUUUGCCAUCUUAUUCGAAUUAAUAUCAAAUCAAUAUCAAACACGUGUAAAAGAUAUUCUGGAUAUUUAAUUUUCGCUAAAUGGUACAACGUGAGAGUUAUCGAGAAGACUUAAAAGUCUCGUAAAUCGUGCAAUUAUGCGUUUGAUUGAAAUAAGACGCGACGAGGUGAGAACCUCUGGGUAAGAUCAAGUAAAUAGAAACAGGCAGUGCCAGUCAGUGCUCGGGGAAACGCAGCAUGAGACCUUUGAACGUCCGCACUGUCUUUGCGUUUCUAUGGAUCGUAGAAUAUGGAGGAUUAACGAAAGGCUGCGAUAGGACAUGCGUCACGUGCAACUAGAUACUCAGUCAAUCGAUCAUGGUGAUAUGCGUUUGAUUAAUGCAUUGAAGAUCGGUCGCGAUGCAUAGCUACGUUUAGCAUGAUACUCCUGCUGCGAAACAAUGGGACGAAUUUAAUCGGGGUUGGAUUUUAAUGACAGAUAUACUAAUUAUAUCGUAAUAUAAUUUAUACGAGAGGGAACAUGACGUUACAGAUAAAUUCGCGGGACAGAUUUGUUGCAGUAACGAAACGCGAUUUUAAUACCGGAGGAGCGUCAUGGUCUGUGUUUCGAACCGAGAAACGAAAACUCUCUUCAAUUAUUUGUCUUCCUCGCUUCCGCGCAACGGGAAGUUUUCCCAAUGGCUCUCCAGGUUAAUACUUCCGAGGGACUUAAUACUCUUUGUACCUAUUUAUAACUGCGAGACGGAAUCGCGGGCACGUAAUCUUCCAUUAUAAUUGACCUCUCCGCCGUUACUCGUUGUUCCGCGGGUAGAUGCGGGUAGAAAGGGGAUCUCGUCAUGAGGGUGGCGGCGGGGGGGGGGAGGGGCAAGGGUGCCGUCGCGAGGCAGGGCGCGUAAGGGUUAGAGGGGUAAAUCAUUUCCCCGCCACCCCCACGAAUGCGCCGCCGGUACACGUCGGUCGGUAUUUAUUUUACAAAACGUUUCUUCCUCGCUCUUUCCGCCGCGCCCGACUUAAUUUACCACCCGAGGUAUUAAUUAUAAAAAAGUCGUAACUAAAUGCCCAGCAGGACGGAGUUACGCGCGAGCGCGGGUCCGCGCGGACGCGGCUUUAAUUUUCCUAUUUGUCGGGGAAGUUAGCGUCUGAAGCGAGCGCGGAAAUCAUUAGCGAAGUAAAAACCCGGCUCCCACGCGACUUCACCAAUACCAAAGCGACGGCGGGCGCUCGCUUAUAAGGCGCGAUGUCGUUACGCUUUACCCCGCGAAAUUGAAUUUGGGAUUCCUCGCUCAAUGCGGAGAUAAAACCGCGUUACGUGCACCGCUGGAAAGUCGCGCGCGAAGUGGAGCCGUCAAUUAAUAUGCGCGACGUCCAGUUUCUUUCUGAUACACGGUCCUUUCGUAUUGCGCAAAGAAACACUUCCCGAGAUAGGGAAAUAAAAUGUAAAGUCGUAUGUACAGUAAUUGCGUUAAGUCAAUUAAAAAUCUAUGAUUGUACAAAGAUAGUUUGUAAUGCAUUUGAAAAUAAAUGCCCUAAAAUAAUAUUUUCACUAAGUGUUAACUCAAUUAUUGUUUGGCGAUAUUACACCUGAUGAUAAUUGUAACUAGAAAUACGUCGCUUCUUUUUGACGAUUUUUUCCUAUAAUUGAAUAACAGAGGAGCUGAGAAGAGCGAAAGAAGAGAGAGACGAGGAGCCAGAUACGACGAGGUCGCUUCUCGCUCUUCUCGUAAAUAAAUAAUUAGAAUCUCCCUUCAACGUCUCUACAGUACUUUUCUUUUUUUUACCCUGCCUAUUCGACUUCGUCUUCUCGGCCGGUGAAUGGCAGUGAUUGGCAGUUAAUGACGACGCUUCACGGACUAUCCUCUACACCUCCCGAUAUCUACCGCUUUCCGUCAGGACGAGUGU